UCUUACCCACUGAGCCAUCUCACCAGCCCCCCAACAUUUUUUUUAAAAAGAUGUAUUUAUUUAUUUAUUUUAUGUAUAUGGCUACACUGUAGCUGUCUUCAGACACACCAGAAGAGGGCAUCAGAUCCCAUUACAGAUGGUUGUGAGCCACCAUGUGGUUGCUGGGACUUGAACUCGGGACCUCUGGAAGGGCAGUCAGUGCUCUUACCCACUGAGCCAUCUCUCCAGCCUUCUACCCAAUUUUAAGUUCUUUCUCUAAAAGCAAAUGGUAGCACAAUACAACAACAAAAUCCCCCAAACCAAGAAAACGAAAUACUCCCCCCCAAACAAAACAGAACAAAGAACAAACCACUAAGCUGCAACCAAAUAUAAAUGUAAACACACUAAUAAAUGGUGGUGCCCAGUAUCUGUCUGUCUAUCUGUCUGUCAACUACUCCUGAGCAUGAGGUCUGUCGUGGAGUGGUUGAUAUACCCAGUGUUGUUCUAUUAUUGAAAACUGAUUUUCCCUGUCCCAGCAUGCAUAAACAACAGUCCAGUUGUUAAACUUUACUGUAGUGGAUAGGUUUUUAAUCAUUCAUUCAUUUAUCCAUCUUAAAAAAUAAAUAAGAUAAAACAAAAAUUAUCACAUCGAAAUUGGACAAAACAAAUCAACAGAAGGAAAAGAGCCCAAGAGAAGACAAAAGAAUCGGAGACCCAUUCAUUCACACUUCAGGAAUCCCAUAAAAACACCUAGCAGCAAGCUGUCAUAGAAAUGCAAAGGAUAUGCUGGGAGCUGUGCAGGCCCUCUGCAUGUUCAGCCCCUAAGUUCACAUGAGGUUUCCUCAUGGUGACUUAGAGGGCCUUGUUUUCUUGGUGUUUUCGAUCCCCUCUGGCCGGUACACUCUUUUUUUUUUUUUUGCCUCCUUUUGUGAGGUUUUCGUUUUGUCUUGUUUUUGCUUUUUGAGAUAGGGCUUCUCUGUGUAGUCCUGGCUGUCCUGAAACUCGCUCUACAGACCAUGCUGGCCCCCAACUCAGAGGUCAUCCUGCCUUUGCCUGUCAAGUGCUGGGAUUAAAAGCAUGUGCCACCACCGCCCUUGGAGGGACGGGAUUUGAUGUAGACAUUUCAUUUAGGGCCGAGUGUCCCUUCUCUGUGGACUGUCUGGCUGUGGGUCUCUGUACUGUCCCCUCGGCUGCAGGAGGAAGCUUCUCUGGUGAUGGCUGAACAAGGCACUGAUCUCUGAGUGUAGCAGACUGUCAGUGGGACUGAAUUUAUCACGGUUUUUUCCCCCCCUUUUUUAGAUUAGGAUUAUUUAGUGUUUGCCCUUGGUCCCUGGGCUGAUCACCCAGCCAAGCAGUGUUAGGUAUGGGUUGUAUCUUGUGGAGCGGGCCUUAGGUCAAGCUAAUUAUUGUUGGUUACUCCCACAGCUUUGAGCCACCAAUUGCCCUAGCAUAUCCUGCAGGCAGAACACCAUUGUAGUAAAGAGUUUGUAGCUGGGUUAGUGUUUACGUUUCUCUCUCUCUCUCCUUUUUGUUUUUUUUUAAGACUUAUUCAUUUAUUAUAUGUAAGUACACUGUAGCUGUCUUCAGACACCCCAGAAGAGGGCAUCAGAUUUCAUUAUGGAUGGUUGUGAGCUACCAUGUGGUUGUUGGGAUUUGAAUUCAGGACCUUUAGAAGAGCUGUCAGUGCUCUUAACUGCUGAGCCAUCUUUCCAGCCAGUGUUUCUCUUUAGAGCAUGUAGAGUAUGGUCCUUUACCAGAGAUGCUGGAAUGUAGGGUGAAGGCUCUAUGUAGACACUGGCUGAACAUCUCCAUCUUCAAUGAAUUGUGUAGAUGUUGUCUUCAGCAAUUGGGCUGUGCUGUGCAGUUUUUGGACAAGCAACUUGUAGUCUUGGCAACAGCCUGGGUUGUUUAACAGUUCCUGUGGGGUUCCUUGGACAACAACUCAAUUAGAUGUAACACAAUUUCGGUACUAGAAGUCUAGUUUGGUGAUAAGAGUCGAUCACUUUCAAUAUGUAUAUAUUUUAGAAGUUUCUUCUGUAUUAGGCUUCCAUACUACCCCUUUUAAUAUUAGCUGUCUCUCCCUGUAUUUCCCUCCAACUCUCCUACCCUUGUUCCCACUUGAUUCUCCCAUUCCAGCCCCCCAUCUAUCUGUGACUAUUCAUUUCCCUUAUAGGGGCACACAAAUUAUUCACCAAAAUAGAACAUAUUCUUUCUAAGCUAUAUCACAAAUGUCAGAAAAUUCAAAAUAAUUGAAAUCUUACAAAUUAAGUUUUCUGAUUAUAACAACAGGAAGAAAAAUGCCUACAUACUUAAAAAUUAACAUGUGCAUGUGUAUAUGUGGAAAUUCAAACACUUUUGUGUUGUUACCAUUUAUAAAAUCAGCAAGUAGGAGGGUCAAGCAGGACAGCCUUGUGUUUAAGGACAUGACCCAGGUUUGAAAACUAACCAAACACACUACUUGAGAUGGUCCAUAAUUUCUUUCUAGCACACAGGGAGACAGGCAGGUGGAUCUCCAGGUCAGCCUGGUCUGCAAAGGAAAUUCCUGGACAGCUAGGGCUAUACAGGGAGAAACCCUGUCUCAAAGAAGAAAACGAAGAAAAUAAAACAAACAAAU
rnacentral:lncRNA from 1 species